AUUGAUGAACCUAGACUUUCAAGACAUGGCUAAAUUAUGUCCAAAACAAGUUGAUCGCAUCGGCUCCUGAGGCUUCUGCAUUCUUCACGUAGUUCUCAAGCUCCUCUCAGAGUAAUUUUGAUCGUCUGAAGCCUUCUUCUCUCAACUCGUCAAAGUCAUUCUCCGUCCAGCUUUAUUCCAUUGCUGUGAGAUGAACCCCGUACCUCAGAUGGAAAUGCAGAAAUCACCCAUCUUCUGCGUCGCUCACGCUGGGAGCUGUAGACCGGAGCUGUUCCUAUUCGGCCAUCUUGGCUGCCACGCACUUUUUUGUUUAUCCUCUGUUCUUCCCUAAUGUUCAUAAGUUAUUUUACUGAUCAGUAAGCUAAAUGAAUAUUUGUGUUUUUCUGUAUCCAGUAUCAUAAAGAAUUAAAGGUUUCCAUGAAAGCCAAAUAAAAAUCUAUUGGAUACAAGAAUUUCUUAA
rnacentral:lncRNA from 10 species